rnacentral:misc_RNA from 1 species
CUCAUCCAACAAGUCAUCAGCCUCAUAGGCCGCAUCUUUGAGCUCAUCAAGCCACUUCUUCACAGCAGGCACAACAAUCUGCUUUUCCUCGGCGUGAUCAAGCAAUCCAGUAACAGUGAUCAUAGCAACCUUCAACUUCUUCACUUGUGAAAGGUCGAGUUUGUGGCCCUUAAAAAAUGCAGCAAUCUCGGGAGAAUCCAUCCUCUCAAACAAAAACUGGAACAUGCUGGAGAGAAAUGCUCCUGCUACUACCUCGGCCGCCAUGGAUAUCUCUUUGCAAAGGAAGUGAGUUUAAGGAUAGAAAAUUGAUGAAGGAGAUCUUAUUUAUCUCCCAAAGAUGCAAAGUGCCACCCUUUUCAACAACCUCAAGGAUCAGACAAGUUUAUGAAGCUAAAGAUCUUCCUCUUUUUCUUUUUGAGGAUUAGGGGAAAGAUAAAUUCAAUACGAAAUCGAGGAACACAAAAGAACAGAAGCAACCACUUCUUCCCCUUGUUUAUAUUACAAAAGCAAAGCAAUGCGCGUGCCACCCUUUUCAACAACCUCAAGGAUCGGAGACGUGUAUGCAGCUAAGGUCUUCUUCUUCUUUUAAAGAUUAAGGGAAAAACAAAUUGGAAAUUAGACGGAGGCGUCUGGAUUUUUUUUUUUUUUUUUUCUUCUAAAACGGAGAAUUCAAAUGAACAAAACGACCCUUAAAAAUUGAAAGAGUGCAGUGUUUUUUUUUUUUUUGUCAAAGAAGAGUGCAGUUUGAGAGCAGAAAAAAAGAGUGCAGAUUGCAAGAGACUAGAACAGAGCACAUAAGAAUGGAAGUAGGCAGCUAAGAGAAUUGAAAUUUCC